GCCGCCGGGCCUGAGCGGGCCUGAGGCGCGCGCAGGCGCCGCCGGUGCCCGCGGCCGGCUCCCGCCCCCCCACCCCCGGCUCCCGCCGCCUCCCCGACCGGGCUCGUUGCUCUCCAGCUCCCGCUGCGCGGGCAGCGGGGGGAUCCCGCCCCCCCCCCCCCCCCGCUGGUGGCGGACGGACCGGACCACCUUAAGGGUGGCGGCGGCGGGCGGCAGGUCGGCGCGCUCGUUAGGCCGUGCCGGGGGGUUGUCUUCCUCGCAGGACGGGGCGUUUGUGUUUUAAUUGAUGUGCUGUUUCGUUUAGCGCUUGUAUGGAGCUCACGCUGGGGCUGUAAUUACUUGUCAAAGAGAUGCCACACAAAGAUACUGUAUAUUGUGAAGCUUUUCAGUAAUAACAAAAUUGGUAAUGUGGACCUUUAUAGCAAUAUAGUAACCAUUACAUAUCCGAAUUCCAUGGUAAGACCUUGAUAAUUUUUGAAAUUGUCUUCCAGAUAUAUAAAAAAGCACAGCUGUAGGGAGGUGCUUUACAUUAUUUAACUGAAAAGCAGCCUGGAUGGCUUAAGGCUGUGGAGUCACAGCCCAUUCUGUGUUCCUCACACACUGAGACUUCCCUGAAGUCAGUAGAAGUAUUGAGGUGAAAGAAUCAAGGGUCAAGUCUUAAAAAUGGUUAGCGUGUUUUUCCAGAAAAUACAGCAGCUGCAUUUUCUAAAAACCUGAGCUUUGCUAUGAUAGUAUAGAUUACUUUAGAGCAUUUUUGUAGAGGUUUCAAAACAGCUGUGCAGUCAUCAAAUCAUGUGGAAAUAUAAAGCCAGGAGAUGAACGCAAAAAUGUUACAGGUAUUACAACCUUUUGCAAACCUAUAGAUUUGACACCAGGUACAUAAAACUUUUGCAAGUCUCGGCUGCCACAGAUUUUCUGAAAUCUUAUCAAAAACUUUUGUUUCUAAACUUGUGUUCAAGAAUUUAGGGUGCUGCUUGAGAUACAGUUAAUGUUCCCUCUAAAAUAAGCUUUGUGUGUGUGUGUUUGUGUGUGUUUGUGUAUAAGACUUUGCCCUUGGUGUCAUAUGGAUCACACCGAAACAGUUAAUGAUAACUACAGGGCUUUAUAGUACAGGGGGAUUAGUAAAUUGGCUGUUGAUUUCUUAUUUGAAAGAAAAAUACCACAUAAAGUCCAGGAUUUUUAAGAUUUUCUUUCUUAUUUUUUUAAAAAACUGAUGUUUAGUUUAUAAGAGUGAAAUAAAAUUGCUUUCUAAUUCAGAUCUACUGUUCACCAGUAAAUUUUGGUGUGGCAUUGUCUGCACUGGAUAGGUCAAUGAAUGGUGCUUUUAUAAAAAUGUUUGAAAAGAAAAACUCAGUCCGUGGAAAUUGUUCAAAUAAUCUUGUUAGAAUGAAGCCUUGACUGAAGCCAGUAAUUUCAUGGAUUAAAUCCAGAAGGGGCUGUUAUAGCCGUCUGGGCUGAUCUCCUUCCUAUCGCAGGCCACAGCGCUUUAUCCAGGGACUGUCUCCAGAAAUUCUGGCUAGCUACAAGACAUAAGAGAUUUUGCAUGGGCAAAACACUGAACAACAGCAUGAAACUAGAAACUGGGGGACUUUUUGAGGGCAGGGUAAAUGGGAACUGGAGGAAAGAAUAUCUUUGCUGCAAGGUUAGUAGACAGCGUAAGAUAGAGUUGUGGCAUCUUAUUCUGUUCAGUUUUUCCCUAAAAAGUACCAAAUAAGGAUGAAUGAAACUCUGUUUUUUUCCAGUCCAACCUUUUCUUCCUCAUGCCACAUGAGGUCCAGAAUGGAGCAACAUGGUGGGCACUUCAAAUACGGAAAGGAACGCACUGAUUUGUACUUCUGCAAGUAUGCAAAGUGAGAAUCAUCGGCAAAAAUCCAUCACUGAAAAUCCUGCAGAGACAGGGAUGGGAGAGUACAAGUGCUCAUACAUAUCUUAUAUUUUGAUGGAUUUUUAUUGCCUGAGAGAAAAAAUAAAUAGCAUUAACACAU